UGGGGAAUAUUGCGCAAUGGGCGAAAGCCUGACGCAGCAACGCCGCGUGGGUGAUGAAGGCCUUCGGGUCGUAAAGCCCUGUCAGGUGGGAAGAAACCUCUCCGCGAGGGGAGCUGACGGUACCACCGAAGGAAGCACCGGCUAACUCCGUGCCAGCAGCCGCGGUAAUACGGAGGGUGCAAGCGUUGUUCGGAAUCACUGGGCGUAAAGGGCGCGUAGGCGGCUAGGGAAGUCCGGUGUGAAGCCCGGGGCUCAACCCCGGAAGUGCAUUGGAAACUCCCUGGCUUGAGUUCGGGAGAGGAGGGCAGAAUUCCCGGUGUAGGGGUGAAAUCCGUAGAUAUCGGGAGGAAAACCAGUGGCGAAGGCGGCCUCUGGAACAGAACUGACGCCGAGGCGCGAAAGCGUGGGGAGCAAACAGGGAUUAGAGACCCUGGUAGUCCACGCCGUAAACGAUGGAUGCUUGGUGUGGGGAUCAAUAAGGAUCUCCGUGCCGCAGCUAACGCAGUAGCAUCCCGCCG
rnacentral:rRNA from 1 species